UUUCUCUCCCGUGACCCUCACUGCUGCUGACCCACCCAAUCCGCUGUCCCUCCACAAGCGGUCACGCAGCAACUCGUCUCCUGGCAACAGAGUGCAUCCUCCUCUCCGUCGUAGCUCUAGGCCAAGCAUCUCCUCUUCCUUGGUGCACCUCCCAGCCACUCCUGGUCCAAACGCAGACAAGCAAAGCAACACGAGAGGCGGCCUGUCCGUGUCCUGCGACGAGACAUCUCGGGACAGCUUCGCCGGUUCCCAUCCCGCCGCAAUGAAAUCCAGUGCGGGCCUCGGACCGUCGUCUUAAUCGUCCUCGCUGCCACGCAAGCAGCGGACGCCUAGUGGUCGCUCAGUAUCGGCGACAACGUAAAUGCGGGGACGCCAUGGACCUCCGCACUCGCCGAGUUCUUCGGCCCCUGCUACGUUAGUGUUGAAGAAGGGUGAGGUGACGUUGAGACUCAUUUGCAUCAUUGACGAGCUAGCUUUUUUUCUUUUUGUCUCUGUUGCCAGUUCCUGUAUACACUGUUUGUAAAAUAUAAAUUCAGAGAUGUACAAGCUACAUCUAUUUUAUUUCUGUUCCAUGCUACUUCUCUCUGUUCUCUCUCCCGAAUCAAGCAUUUAUCCAUGAUCUGAAUUGAUGUUUCGGUUUUGCAUCAAA